UACGAAGGGGGCUAGCGUUGUUCGGAUUUACUGGGCGUAAAGGGCGCGUAGGCGGCAAUUCAAGUCAGCUGUGAAAUCUCCGGGCUUAACUCGGAACGGUCAGCUGAUACUGCUUUGCUAGAGUGCAGAAGGGGCAAUCGGAAUUCUUGGUGUAGCGGUGAAAUGCGUAGAUAUCAAGAGGAACACCUGAGGUGAAGACGGGUUGCUGGGCUGACACUGACGCUGAGGCGCGAAAGCUAGGGUAGCAAACGGG
rnacentral:rRNA from 1 species